rnacentral:misc_RNA from 1 species
AAGUCGUAACAAGGUUUCCGUAGGUGAACCUGCGGAAGGAUCAUUAUUGAAUUAUGUUUCUAGAUGGGUUGUCGCUGGCUCUUUGGAGCAUGUGCACGCCUGUUUGGACUUCAUUUUCAUCCACCUGUGCACCUAUUGUAGUCUUUGGUCGGGUUAUUGAGGAAGUGGUCAGUCUAUCAGCAUUAGCUGGAUUUGAGGACUUGCGGUGCGAAAGUAGUGCUGUCCUUUACUUGGCCAUGGAGUCUUUUUCCUGCCAGAGUUUAUGUCAUUCAUUAUACCCUAUAGAAUGUCAUUGAAUGUCUUUACAUGGGCUUGUAUGCCUAUGAAAAUUGUAAUACAACUUUCAGCAACGGAUCUCUUGGCUCUC